GAUGAAGAACGUAGCGAAAUGCGAUACGUAAUGUGAAUUGCAGAUUUCAGUGAAUCAUCGAAUCUUUGAACGCACAUUGCGCCCGCUAGUAUUCUGGCGGGCAUGCCUGUUCGAGCGUCAUUUCAACCAUCAAGCCCUAGGCUUGCGUUGGAGCCCUGCGGCUGCCGCAGGCUCCCAAAUCCAGUGGCGGGCUCGUCGUCGUACCGAGUGCAGUAAACAUCCUCGCUCAGGGAACGUGACGGGUUCUUGCCGUGAAACCCCCCACAUAUCAAGGUUGACCUCGGAUCAGGUAGGAAUACCCGCUGAACUUAAGCAUAUCGAUAAGCGGAGGA
rnacentral:misc_RNA from 1 species